rnacentral:lncRNA from 10 species
GAGAGCCCGGCAACACCUCAGCCCGAGCCCGGCGAGGUCUCUGGGCUCCUGGAGCGAGGUGAGCGCCCCAGGCCGCGGUCCUGCCUACGCCGGGACAGCCAUGGCGACUGGGUCCUGCUCCUUCCCGGCCGGACUGACGCGGCCUCCCAGGACCCGAGCACGUGCGUGAUGGGCGAGGAGGGCCUAGGCCGGGCAGACCAGUGCAGGGAGCCGAUUCUUCUCGGCUCACCGUAGACACAGGAGAGAGAUGGCCUCUCCUUAAGCCCAGGAGAACAGAGGAAACAUUAGGAAACGCACUGAGAAACGAAAUUGGCUUGAUUUGUAGUUCACUUAUUUGUAGAUCACUGACAGAAGACCGAAAAGCUCGUAGUAAAGGCCCCUCUAAAUUUAGAGAGAGGUGGCAUCUCACUACGUGGCCUAGGCUGAUCUCCCUCUCCUGGACUCACAUGAUCCUCCCACCUUGGCCCUUCAACGUGCUGAGAUCGCAGGUGUGAGCCACCACACCCGGCCCUGAUAAAACUCAUCAGUGCUUUGAAACAAGCAGCUCUGAACCAAAGAAAUCAUUUGAUUCAAGUAACCAUUGGAUCUUCCCAAGGCAAUGGUGAAAGAAAAGAAAAAAGCAGACAA